rnacentral:lncRNA from 1 species
AUGAAUGGUUUAUCCAGUUCACCACACUUCCUGUUCCUACCCAUAUCCUUGCUCACAUGGCUUCUCCCUAAACCUUUCAAGUGUUCCCUUAAAGCUCAUCUUCUCGAGGAAUUCUUCCCCAAGCUCCUAACCCCUAGUACACAAUCAUUUCUUGAAAUUCCUCUUGCAAUUCACUUCAAAAGCACUUGUUUGACAGCUCUAAGCAGUUUCCCAAACAUUUGCACACCCCUGAUGAUUUCUGCCAUAUCUUUGUACCGCCUAUACCAAUGUUUAUUUAGUGUUUGGGAUUAUUGA